rnacentral:rRNA from 1 species
CCUACGGGGGGCAGCAGUCGGGAAAAUUUUGCAAUGCGCGCAAGCGUGACAGAGCAAGCCAGAGUGCAUUUCCGUAUGGAAAUGCUUUUGUGUGAUGUAAAUAGUCGCACGAAUAAGGACUGGGAGAGACUGGUGCCAGCCGCCGCGGUAAUCCCAGCAGUCCAAGUCGCAGCCACAUUUGUUGGGUCUAAAACAUCCGUAGCUUGCCUUGCAAGUCUCAUGUGAAAUCGGGCCUCUUGAGGGUCCGGCGUGCAUGAGAUACUGCUUGGCUCGAGACCGGGAGACGUACUGAGUACGACAAGGGGAGCGGUUAAAUGUGUUGAUCCUUGUUGGACUAACAACAGCGAAGGCACGGUACGAGAACGGAUCUGACAGUGAGGGAUGAAGGCUAGGGGCGCAAAGUGGAUUAGAUACCCGGGUAGUC